AGUGAACGCUGGCGGUAGGCCUAACACAUGCAAGUCGAACGGCAGCACAGUAAGAGCUUGCUCUUACGGGUGGCGAGUGGCGGACGGGUGAGGAAUACAUCGGAAUCUACUUUUUCGUGGGGGAUAACGUAGGGAAACUUACGCUAAUACCGCAUACGACCUACGGGUGAAAGCAGGGGAUCUUCGGACCUUGCGCGAUUGAAUGAGCCGAUGUCGGAUUAGCUAGUUGGCGGGGUAAAGGCCCACCAAGGCGACGAUCCGUAGCUGGUCUGAGAGGAUGAUCAGCCACACUGGAACUGAGACACGGUCCAGACUCCUACGGGAGGCAGCAGUGGGGAAUAUUGGACAAUGGGGGCAAGCCUGAUCCAGCCAUACCGCGUGGGUGAAGAAGGCGUUCGGGUUGUAAAGCCCUUUUGUUGGGAAAGAAAAGCAGCAGGUUAAUACCCCGCUGUUCUGACGGUACCCAAAGAAUAAGCACCGGCUAACUUCGUG
rnacentral:rRNA from 1 species